rnacentral:rRNA from 1 species
GUCCUACGGGGCGCAGCAGUGGGGGAUAUUGCACAAUGGGGGGAACCCUGAUGCAGCGACGCCGCGUGGGUGAAGAAGCGCCUCGGCGCGUAAAGCCCUGUCAGCAGGGAAGAAAAUGACGGUACCUGAAGAAGAAGCCCCGGCUAACUACGUGCCAGCAGCCGCGGUAAUACGUAGGGGGCAAGCGUUAUCCGGAUUUACUGGGUGUAAGGGGGCGCAGACGGCGAUGCGAGCCAGGAGUGAAAGCCCGGGGCCCAACCCCGGGACUGCUCUUGGAACUGCGGGGCUGGAGUGCAGGAGGGGCG